ensembl:lncRNA
CUUUCACAAUUUUUGUAUAUGCCAGGACCCCAAGUGCACCAAUAGGCCUUACUCGUCCUGACUGGCCUCACCUGGGACCUCUGUCUACCCCCAACCACUUGUGUAUCCAGCAGCCUCAUUUAAGCUCACACCUGGGCUUUGAGCUCUGGCCUGAGCUGGAAGAAUGGCGUAGGGUGGUGAUAGUGGCAGUCUCACCACCAUCGAGGGAAAGAAAGGGAACAGGAGGUUUGGUCCAUGAAUCCAGUAUGUGGGACAAGCCUCUGCUUAUCCUUCUGACAACUACCAGCGAUGGACUACAAACCCUUCUGUGUUAA